GAGUUUGUAGCUCAGCGGAUUGAGCACGCGUUUCCGAUGCGCGGGACGAGGGUUCGACUCCCUUCAAACUCU
rnacentral:tRNA from 1 species